rnacentral:rRNA from 1 species
UACGUAGGGGGCAAGCGUUGUCCGGAUUUAUUGGGCGUAAAGAGCUCGUAGGUGGUUCGGUAAGUCGGAUGUGAAAUCUCCAGGCUCAACCUGGAGGGGUCAUUCGAUACUGCCGUGACUAGAGGUCGGUAGGGGAGUGUGGAAUUCCUGGUGGAGCGGUGAAAUGCGCAGAUAUCAGGAGGAACACCCGUAGCGAAGGCGGCACUCUGGGCCGUACCUGACACUGAUGCGCGACAGCAUGGGGAGCAAACAGG